CAUGGUUAACAUUGCUUGAAGAGGCUUUAAUGCUUGUAUGUCCCAGUAUGACGGAAUCACUUAAAAUAAAGUUGUUCUUCCUUAGGAGUUGGCGAUAGUGGAACACUACCAGGAGCCAAACCACUAAAGCCCCCAGGCAUUGGAGGUGGAGCCAUUGCUGGACGUGGAGAUACCCCAGGCACUAUUGAAGGAGGACCUGGAAGUGUAGGCGGUGGUCCAGGUGGGGUUGGUGGAGUUCUAGGAGGAGUUGGUGGAGUUCCAGGGGGAGUUGGUGGAGUUCCAGGGGGAGUUGGUGGAGUUCCAGGAGGAGUUGGUGGAGUUCCAGGGGGAGUUGGUGGAGUUCCAGGUGGAGUUGGUGGAGUUCCAGGGGGAGUUGGUGGAGUUCCAGGUGGAGUUGGUGGAGUUCCAGGGGGUGUUGGUGGAGUUCCAGGUGGAGUUGGUGGAGUUCCAGGUGGAGUUGGUGGAGUUCCAGGAGGAGUUGGUGGAGUUACAGGAGGAAUUGGAGGAGUUAAACCCCCUAAAGUUUACAGCGGUACAGGUGGAACUGGAGCUCUUGGAGUUGGAGGUGUAGGUGGAAUGGGUCCAGCUGGAACAGGAGGAGCUGGACUUCUGCCUGGAGGUGGUGGUUUACUACCAGGAGGUUAUGGAGGAGCUGGAGGUUUAGGAGCUGGUGGGAUCCAACCAG
rnacentral:lncRNA from 1 species